GGGGGACUCGGGUAGUGGCGCACGGGUGCGUAACGCGUGGGAACCUGCCUUUAGGUUCGGAAUAACUCAGAGAAAUUUGAGCUAAUACCGGAUAAUGUCUUCGGACCAAAGAUUUAUCGCCUUUAGAUGGGCCCGCGUUAGAUUAGAUAGUUGGUGGGGUAAUGGCCUACCAAGUCGACGAUCUAUAGCUGGUCUGAGAGGAUGAUCAGCCACACUGGGACUGAGACACGGCCCAGACUCCUACGGGAGGCAGCAGUGGGGAAUAUUGGACAAUGGGCGAAAGCCUGAUCCAGCAAUGCCGCGUGAGUGAUGAAGGCCUUAGGGUUGUAAAGCUCUUUUACUAGGGAUGAUAAUGACAGUACCUAGAGAAUAAGCUCCGGCUAACUCCGUGCCAGCAGCCGCGGUAAUACGGAGGGAGCUAGCGUUGUUCGGAAUUACUGGGCGUAAAGCGCGCGUAGGCGGCUUUUCAAGUCAGGGGUGAAAUCCCGGGGCUCAACCUCGGAACUGCCCUUGAAACUGGAUGGCUAGAAUACUGGAGAGGUGAGUGGAAUUCCGAGUGUAGAGGUGAAAUUCGUAGAUAUUCGGAAGAACACCAGUGGCGAAGGCGACUCACUGGACAGUUAUUGACGCUGAGGUGCGAAAGCGUGGGG
rnacentral:rRNA from 1 species